rnacentral:tRNA from 1 species
ACAUUUUUAGCUCAGUUGGAUUAGAGCACCAGCCUUCUAAGCUGAUGGUCAUAGGUUCGAAUCCUAUAAAAUGUA